UGAUAUGGACUGAAUGAAUAAGGAAAUGAAACAGCGUGCCUGGCUCUGUAAGAGGGAGGAGACAGAGAGAAACUCUGGAUUUUUUGAAGAAAACCUGCCAGUGAGGAGGUAAAGUUCACAGUCACCAUGGUAACUGACCCAGAGUUUAAAUUACCUCUCUUUCUGGAACUUGAAAAACAGAAUUUCUCUCAUCUCAGGGUUAACAAGCUCAGUUUUCACUAAACCCACUUUCUGGAAUAACCCUCCAGCAGGUCAGUCAGUCCACCCCAUAGAUAUAUUUAGUGUUUUAUAUCUAUGAUCUGCGCCAUCUUGGAUAUACCUGGGGUUCUGGUGACUACUCCACAAAGAUCAUAAACCACUGAAUAUAAAAACGACUCACUGAAAUCAUUUGAUAAGUUAUCAAUGAGUUUGUUUUCUCAUGUUGAAUACCUGUGUAAUGAUUUAAAAGUUAUUUUCACAGAGAGAUGUUCAAAAGGCAGAGAGGGAUACGGCCUGCUGAUGAUGCAACAUCACACAUUCUGUCUUUGAUGGACAAGCCGGGGUUUAUGGAAAGAUUUAAUGACAGUAACAAAGGAAGAGAAGUGUUCGCUACCCAGCCCGUCGAACUAGGUUCUUUUGUCUUGGAGUACAGGGUGAACUCAAAUCACUGGAAGAAUGCCGGUCCAGACACUACUCAGAGAGAGAGAGUACAUUUCUGUUUGAAUUUGAAUGGCGGGAACGUCACUGGUGUAUUGAUGCAUCCAAAGAAGAUGGAUCCCUUGGAAGAUUAGUGAAUGACAACCACAAAUCUCCAAACUGCAUCAUGAAAAAAGUCACUACAUUUGUGCCUGUUUGCUGUGAAGAAAAUAGAAAUAGGAGUUGAAAUCGAUUACAACUAUGGUGAUUCAAAAUGGCCAUGGUGUAAAAAGGGGAGUUGUAGGGCUGUGCGAUAUGACCAAGAUCUCAUAUCCCAAAGAUGAUAUGUGUCCUGAUAAAUUUUCUGUAAAUCCAAUGAAUAAAUAGUUUCUG